AAACUUAAAGGAAUUGACGGGGGCCCGCACAAGCAGUGGAGUAUGUGGUUUAAUUCGAAGCAACGCGAAGAACCUUACCAAGGCUUGACAUAAUAGUGAAUACGGUAGAGAUAUCGUAGUCCUUCGGGACACUAUUACAGGUGGUGCAUGGUUGUCGUCAGCUCGUGUCGUGAGAUGUUGGGUUAAGUCCCGCAACGAGCGCAACCCCUGUUGCUAGUUGAUAACAUUCAGUUGAUCACUCUAGCGAGACUGCCGGUGAUAAAUCGGAGGAAGGUGGGGACGACGUCAAAUCAUCAUGCCCCUUAUGUCUUGGGCUACACACGUACUACAAUGGCUAUAACAGAGGGAAGCUAAGCUGCAAAGUGGAGCAAAUCCCCAAAAAUAGUCCCAGUUCAGAUUGUGGGCCGCAACCCGCCCACAUGAAGUCGGAAUUGCUAGUAAUGGCAGGUCAGCAUACUGCCGUGAAUACGUUCCCGGGCCUUGUACACACCGCCCGUCACACCAUGAGAGUCUGCAACACCCGAAGUCGAUAGUCUAACCGUAAGGAGGACGUCGCCGAAGGUGGGGCCGAUGAUUGGGGU
rnacentral:rRNA from 1 species